rnacentral:piRNA from 1 species
UUGAAGACACAGAGAGAACACAUCCUCUUA